CAUCACUUCCUGCGCUGCGGGGGGCACUUCCUCAUCUCCAUCAAGGCGAACUGCAUCGACUCGACGGCGCCGGCCGAGGCGGUGUUCGCGGGGGAGGUGAGGAAGAUGACGGCCGAGAGGAUGAAGCCGCAGGAGCAGCUGACGCUGGAGCCCUACGAGAGGGACCACGCCGUGGUGGUCGGCGUCUACCGGCCGCCCCCGAAGGAGAAAUGACGUCAUCGCUCCUCCGCCCCGCCAGGGGGCGCCAUCGGCGGGGGCGUGGCCUAACCCGGAAAUGGACACCUCCAACCCGGAAGUGGGCGUGGUUUAACCCGAAAUGGGCGUGGUUUUUACCGAAAUGGGCAUGGCUUGACCCAAAAUGGGCGUGGUCUGAGUUGGCCACGCCCCCGGCGCGGUUUUUGUGGGGUGGGGGCGGGGCCUGAGGGGAUUUUUUUGGUAAAUAAAGGAAAAAAAUCGUU